rnacentral:rRNA from 1 species
CUCAGAACUUAAAGGAAGUUGACGGGGCCCGCACAAGCGGUGGAGUAUGUGGUUAAUUCGAUGCAACGCGAAGACUUACCUGGUCUUGACAUCCCGGAGACCCUUAGGAAACUAGGGGGUGCUUCCAUCUGGAAGAAUCUGGAGACAGGUGCUGCAUGGCUGUCGUCAGCUCGUGUCGUGAGAUGUUGGGUUAAGUCCCGCAACGAGCGCAACCCUUGCCUUUAGUUGCCAGCAGUUCGGCUGGGCACUCUAAAGGGACUGCCGGUGUUAAACCGGAGGAAGGUGGGGAUGACGUCAAGUCCUCAUGGCCUUUAUGACCAGGGCUACACACGUACUACAAUGGCCGAUACAAAGGGCAGCGACACUGCGAGGUGAAGCCAAUCCCGUAAAAUCGGUCUCAGUCCGGAUUGGAGUCUGCAACUCGACUCCAUGAAGUUGGAAUCGCUAGUAAUCGUGGAUCAGCAUGCCACGGUGAAUACGUUCCCGGGCCUU